rnacentral:ribozyme from 16 species
CACACACAUGCUAUAUAUGCGAAUAAAACAAGAAAAGAAGGCAUACUAAGUCAUGUGUUGUGUGUCGUGGUUUGUCUUGAUCUCUCUCUUCUUAUCUUAUU